rnacentral:tRNA from 1 species
GUUUUUUUAGUAUAAAAUAUAAAUGAUUUCCAAUCAUUAGAUCUCAGCAAAACCUGAGAAAAGACA